rnacentral:rRNA from 1 species
GGAGUUUGGGCCGUGUCUCAGUCCCAAUGUGGCCGUACACCCUCUCAGGCCGGCUACUGAUCGUCGCUUUGGUGGGCCGUUACCCCGCCAACUGGCUAAUCAGACGCGGGUCCAUCUCACACCACCGGAGUUUUUCACACCAUACCAUGCGGUAUUGUGCGCUUAUGCGGUAUUAUCAGUCGUUUCCAACUGCUAUCCCCCAGUGUGAGGCAGGUUACCCACGCGUUACUCACCCGUCCGCCACUAAGUAUUUCAAAUGAUUCUUCGGAAGCAAGCUUCCUCGGUCUCGGGAGAAAUACUCCGUUCGACUUGCAUGUGUUAAGCACGCCGCCAGCGUUUAUC